UGUUGCCCUAGGCAGACAUUUAUUGCUAGGAUGCUAUGUUCACUAUUGGAAAGAACCACUUUCUAACAAUUCUAAUAAUUGUUCUACUGAGAUCUGGUAUAUAUCUGGAACUGCCUGGUGCCCAUGUGGAUGGUCCUUUUGUACCCAGGGGGAGGAGUCAAGCUCAUAAAAAGCAAGUACAAGCUAUGAGUCACAACAGGCUGGGAGUUAAACAAGAUCCCCUGCUGCCCUGCCUCAACCAGCCCAGCUGAUCUUCACCAUAUUUUUGCCCCUGCUGCUGAUGAGACUUAACCUGCCUGGUUGCUGAGCUGGACUGGAACUAGUUUUGCACUAUGGAAGAAAAAAAAAAAGCACAAAGCAGUUUAAAGGGGAUGUGGUGUGCCCCUUUGCACCACAGUUCUGGCUAUACUAUAAUGCAGGCUUUGUGCUGCAAAAAAGAAAAGAAAAAUUGCUUUGCUUUGAAAUUCUGAUUUCAAUUGUAGUCAUGUGUAAUACAGAUUAAUGGACUCACACUAACAGAAUAGUGUAAUAGAUGAAUAGUAGUUUUCAUAAACUACAGCCAUUUCAC